GAUGAACGCUGGCGGCGUGCCUAAUACAUGCAAGUCGAGCGAACAGACGAGGAGCUUGCUCCUCUGACGUUAGCGGCGGACGGGUGAGUAACACGUGGAUAACCUACCUAUAAGACUGGGGUAACUUCGGGAAACCGGAGCUAAUACCGGAUAAUAUAUUGAACCGCAUGGUGCAAUAGUGAAAGACGGUUUUGCUGUCACUUAUAGAUGGAUCCGCGCCGCAUUAGCUAGUUGGUAAGGUAACGGCUUACCAAGGCAACGAUGCGUAGCCGACCUGAGAGGGUGAUCGGCCACACUGGAACUGAGACACGGUCCAGACUCCUACGGGAGGCAGCAGUAGGGAAUCUUCCGCAAUGGGCGAAAGCCUGACGGAGCAAUGCCGCGUGAGUGAUGAAGGUCUUCGGAUCGUAAAACUCUGUUAUUAGGGAAGAACAAAUGUGUAAGUAACUAUGCACGUCUUGACGGUACCUAAUCAGAAAGCCCCGGCUAACUACGUG
rnacentral:rRNA from 1 species